CCUACGGGAGGCAGCAGUGGGGAAUAUUGGACAAUGGGCGCAAGCCUGAUCCAGCAAUGCCGCGUGAGUGAUGAAGGCCUUAGGGUCGUAAAGCUCUUUUACCAGGGAUGAUAAUGACAGUACCUGGAGAAUAAGCUCCGGCUAACUCCGUGCCAGCAGCCGCGGUAAUACGGAGGGAGCUAGCGUUGUUCGGAAUUACUGGGCGUAAAGCGUACGUAGGCGGUUAUUCAAGUCAGAGGUGAAAGCCCGGGGCUCAACCCCGGAACGGCCUUUGAAACUAGGUAGCUAGAAUCUUGGAGAGGUCAGUGGAAUUCCGAGUGUAGAGGUGAAAUUCGUAGAUAUUCGGAAGAACACCAGUGGCGAAGGCGACUGACUGGACAAGUAUUGACGCUGAGGUACGAAAGCGUGGGGAGCAAACAGGAUUAGAUACCCUGGUAGUCCACGCCGUAAACGAUGAUAACUAGCUGUUCGGGCACUUGGUGCUUGAGUGGCGCAGCUAACGCAUUAAGUUAUCCGCCUGGGGAGUACGGUCGCAAGAUUAAAACUCAAAGGAUUGACGG
rnacentral:rRNA from 1 species